rnacentral:rRNA from 1 species
CACCAGAAGUAGAUAGUCUAACCUUCGGGAGGGCGUUUACCACGGUGUGCUUCAUGACUGGGGUAAAGUCGUAACAAGGUAGCCGUAGGGGAACCUGUGGCUGGAUCACCUCCUU